AAUUUAAAAAUUAGCCAGGCACAGUGGCAUGCACCUAUAAUCUCAGCCAUUUGGGAGGCUGGAGCAGGAGAAUUACUUGAGCCCAGGAGUUUGAGGCUGAAUUGAGCCAUGAUCACACCACGGCACUCCAGCCUGGGCUACAGAGUGAAACUCCACCUUAAAAAAAAAAUGAAGUGGCAUAAUUGAUAUACUAAGAAAGAAGACUAAAUGGAAUCAUAUAUUAUAAUAUCAUUCUAUAAUAUAUGAUAUAUAUAUCAUACAUAUCAUUAUAUAACUAUAUCAUAAUAAAAUGCUCCAUUAAUACCUCAAAAGUCAGAAGAAGUAUGGAAGACAAAAAUAGGAACAAAUAGCAAGGGCAACAAAUAGAAAAUAGUCACAAAUAUCACAGAUAUUAAUCCAAUUAUAUUAAUAAUUAUAUUUAAGAGUCAGCUGUCUAAAUACUCCAAUUAAAAGACAGAUUGCCAGAGUGGAUCAAAAAAUAAGACCCAGCUAUAUAUUGUCUACAAGAAACUCUUUUAAGACAUAGACACAUAUAGAUUAAAAGUAAAGGGAUGGAGAAAGAUAUACUAUGCUAACACUAAUCAAAAGAUAGUAAGGGCUGGUUGGAGUGCAGUGCUAUUUACAAUUAAUUGAUCAUAACUGGUUACAGAUUUAUUUGUUCUCUCUCUACUUCCAUUGCUUCACUUGACUAGCUUUGAAAGAAAGAAAGGAGAGAGAAAGAAAGAAAGAGAGAAAGAAGGAGACAGAAAGAAAGAAAGAAAGAAAGAAAGAAAGAAAGAAAGAAAGAAAGAAAGAAAGAAAGAAAGAAAAAGAAAGAAAAAGAAAGAAGAAAGAAAGAAAGAGGAAGUGUGGAUCUUGGAUCGUGACAUCAGCAAGAUGGUGGAAUAGAACUUUCCAGCACUUAUCCCCUCAUAGAAACAUCUAUUUGAACAACUCUCCAUGCAUGAAAAUAUCUUCAUAAGAGCUAAGGAAUUCAGUUGAGAGAUUAUGGCACUUGUGUGUAGCAGAGAAUUACAAAAGGACCUACUGAAGAAAGUAGGAAGAACAGGUUCACAUUUUCUGCAUCACAUCACCCCUCCAAGCCAGGCAACACGACAUGGAGAGAGAUAUCCUCCAAGUGGGGGAAGGAAAGUAAAGUGAGUCCCAGACUUUGCCACAGGCCUGGCACCAGUGUUGCUCCAGUGAAACUCAGUGCCGGGCUGGUUCGCAUAGCCCUAGGCUCCAAGCUGGUACCUGCAGACUAAGCCUCCAGGCCUGCCCAGUGGCACACUAAACCCCACAACUCCAGGCUCCAGGCCAGUCCCCACAGAUAUAGGCUCCAAGUCACCCAGAACCAGGCCAGUCCCUGCUGCCCCAGACUCCAGGCUAGCCCCCGUAACUUCAUGCUCCAGCAAACCCAGGAUACAAGCCGACCCUAGCAGACUCCAGCCCCUGAUAACCCAGGCACUGGGGGUGAGCACCCCAAUGUAAACUAUGGACUUCAGGUAGUAAUGAUGUGUCAAUGUAGAUUCAUCAGUUGUAACAAAUGCACCACUGUGGUGCCGGAUGUCCAUAGUAGGGGAGGUUGUGUGUCUGUGGGGAUGGGGAGCAUAUAUGCUCUCUAUACUUUCCACUCAAUUUUGCUAUGAACCUAAAACUGCUCUAAAAAUAAAGAUUAUUAAAUUAAGAAAACAUCAGUGAGUAGGACUUAUAUGUGCUCAUAUGAAAACAAGAUAUUUAUGUGUGUUUAUAUGAAAAUACCUUCUAUUAUCUUAUAGAAUGUUUCCAUCCAUCUAAAAACAUGUAGUGUAUAUUUGUAGAAAAUUUCUAAAACCAUACCUGUGAAAUG
rnacentral:lncRNA from 1 species